rnacentral:lncRNA from 1 species
UGGGAGGUGGCUUUAUGGAGCAGAUGGCUUUGGAGCUGAAUCUAAGAGCAAAAUUAGAAUGUUGGUAGGCAGAGAAGAGUGGAGGCUGAGAAGUCAGCAUGGGCACAGUCACAGGUCCAUGAGAGGACUGGGUUUUUCUGUAAGAAUGGCAAGUCAUCCAGCUGGAAGGCGAUGAAAGAGCUUCAACCAGCACUACUACUUGAGGACCUAUGCAGUGUUUGUCCAUGAGCAUGGAAUGACUCAUACUGGCCUCAGAGUUAGGGACUCACUUUAAAGGAAAGGGGAUGCAGUAGUGGGCACAUGACUAAGAAAUCCACCGAUCCUCUCAUAUACUGCACCACCAGAAGCUGCUGGAUUAGCAGAGCAAAGGUCACAGAACGUUUUCCUGAAUCGGAUUCUGGGUUAAAGCUGCCAGUAGGAAGAAUUCACAUGAGAUUUCAAAGGUGGAAGAGAAGGAGAAGGUGUUUUUUUCUUGCAACAGUUUGGCUGGGGAGCUGAGAUCUUCACUGAGGGCUUCCUUUGGCUCCGGGUUCCCGUGGACAGGCAGCCGAUGUCAUCAGUGGUGGCUUCUCUGUGAUCACUAUACCACCAGGUCUCCUAAAGUGGCCUUCUUGACCUUUGCCUCCCCAGCUCUUUCAAUGGUUAUGUGAAACUCUAAUUAUGUACAUUAAAUAUCUUUCAGCUCAUAAUACAUAGAGUCAUUUCCCUCCCC